rnacentral:rRNA from 1 species
GACGAACCGUGCAAACGUUGUUCGGAAUCACUGGGCUUAAAGGGCGCGUAGGCGGGUGGUUAAGUCAGGGGUGAAAUCCUGGAGCUCAACUCCAGAACUGCCUUUGAUACUGAGGAUCUUGAGUUCGGGAGAGGUGAGUGGAACUGCGAGUGUAGAGGUGAAAUUCGUAGAUAUUCGCAAGAACACCAGUGGCGAAGGCGGCUCACUGGCCCGAUACUGACGCUGAGGCACGAAAGCGUGGGGAGCAAACAGG